rnacentral:misc_RNA from 1 species
UUUCCGUAGGUGAACCUGCGGAAGGAUCAUUACCGAGUGCUGGGUCCUUCGGGGCCCAACCUCCCACCCGUGCUUACCGUACCCUGUUGCUUCGGCGGGCCCGCCUUCGGGCGGCCCGGGGCCUGCCCCCGGGACCGCGCCCGCCGGAGACCCCAAUGGAACACUGUCUGAAAGCGUGCAGUCUGAGUUGAUUGAUACCAAUCAGUUAAAACUUUCAACAAUGGAUCUCUUGGUUCCGGCAUCGAUGAAGAACGCAGC